rnacentral:rRNA from 1 species
CUGCUGCCUUCCGUAGGAGUUUGGACCGUGUCUCAGUUCCAAUGUGGGGGACCUUCCUCUCAGAACCCCUAUCCAUCGUCGUCUUGGUGGGCCGUUACCCCGCCAACUAACUAAUGGAACGCAUCCCCAUCGAUAACCGAAAUUCUUUAAUAUCAAGAUCAUGCGACCUUGAUAUCCUAUCGGAUAUUAAUCUUUCUUUCGAAAGGCUAUCCCCGAGUUAUCGGCAGGUUGGAUACGUGUUACUCACCCGUGCGCCGGUCGCCAUCGG